AAUCACAGAAGAGGAGCACUGCCUAGGUAGAUGCAUCGUGGAGCCACAACUCCGAUACGGUGUGUUGAAGGGAGAGCAGUGCCGAGAUUGCGCUAAAUUGUCGGAUUAGAGCAGUCGGUUGACUUGAGUUGAUUCUCAUCAAUUGUCAUCAGCACCGCCUGAUGAAGCGCUUCUGAGGUG
rnacentral:ncRNA from 2 species